UGGGGAAUAUUGCACAAUGGGCGCAAGCCUGAUGCAGCCAUGCCGCGUGUGUGAAGAAGGCCUUCGGGUUGUAAAGCACUUUCAGCGGGGAGGAAGGCGAUAAGGUUAAUAACCUCAUCGAUUGACGUUACCCGCAGAAGAAGCACCGGCUAACUCCGUGCCAGCAGCCGCGGUAAUACGGAGGGUGCAAGCGUUAAUCGGAAUUACUGGGCGUAAAGCGCACGCAGGCGGUCUGUCAAGUCGGAUGUGAAAUCCCCGGGCUUAACCCGGGAAUUGCAUCUGAUACUGGUCAGCUAGAGUCUUGUAGAGGGGGGUAGAAUUCCAUGUGUAGCGGUGAAAUGCGUAGAGAUGUGGAGAAAUACCGGUGGCGAAGGCGGCCCCCUGGACAAAGACUGACGCUCAGGUGCGAAAGCGUGGGGAGCAAACAGG
rnacentral:rRNA from 1 species